AUUUCGCAAACGGAUGUACCGCCGACCCGUCGAAUAUCAUUAGCUUCUUUGUUUUCCGCCGUAACAUCCCCGACAGUCGAUAGAAUUUCACGUCAACGUUACAAAGGCAUUACAUCGAGAUUGCAAUUCAGACCUUUUCCAUACGAUCCAAACAAGGAAUUUCGAUCUGCCCUCAAGACGCAGACCGCGACAUCGAUCACGACGAAAUACAACGUAAACACGAUUUCUGCCGUAAAAACCAACAACAUGACAAUCGAGAAGAAGUAAACAAAGAAACUAGAAAUCAGAAACAAACUAUUAAUAUAGUUCGUGACCAUUAAACUUUGUCGACAAAAAGAAAU
rnacentral:misc_RNA from 1 species